CCUACGGGAGGCAGCAGUGAGGAAUAUUGGUCAAUGGACGAGAGUCUGAACCAGCCAAGUCGCGUGAAGGAUGACUGCCCUAUGGGUUGUAAACUUCUUUUAUAUGGGAGUAAAAUGUUCCACGUGUGGGAUUUUGUAUGUACCAUAUGAAUAAGGAUCGGCUAACCCCGUGCCAGCAGCCGCGGUAAUACGGAGGAUCAGAGCGUUAUCCGGAUUUUUUGGGUUUAAAGGGAGCGUAGGUGGUUUGUUAAGUCAGUUGGGAAAGUUUGGGGCUCAACCGUAAAAUUGCAGUUGAAACUGGCAGUCUUGAGUACAGUAGAGGUGGGCGGAAUUCGUGGUGUAGCGGUGAAAUGCUUAGAUAUCACGAAGAACUCCGAUUGCGAAGGCAGCUCACUGGACUGCAACUGACGCUGAGGCUCGAAAGUGUGGGUAUCAAACAGGAUUAGAUACCCGUGUAGUC
rnacentral:rRNA from 1 species